AGUGAACGCUGGCGGCGUGCUUAACACAUGCAAGUCGAACGAGAACGGAUUAUAGCUUGCUAUAAUUGUCAGCUAAGUGGCGCACGGGUGAGUAAUGUAUAGGUAAUAUGCCUCUUACUAAGGGGUAACAAAUGGAAACGUUUGCUAAUACCUUAUACUCCUUAUUAACUGAAGUUAAUCAGGGAAAGAUUUAUUGGUAAGAGAUUAGCCUGUAUUGUAUCAGUUAGUUGGUGGGGUAAUGGCUUACCAAGACUAUGACACAUAACUGGUUUGAGAGGAUGAUCAGUCACACUGGAACUGAGACACGGUCCAGACUCCUACGGGAGGCGGCAGUGGGGAAUAUUGCACAAUGGACGAAAGUCUGAUGCAGCAACGCCGCGUGGAGGAUGACACAUUUCGGUGCGUAAACUCCUUUUAUAUGAGAAGAUAAUGACGGUAUUAUAUGAAUAAGCACCGGCUAACUCCGUGCCAGCAGCCGCCGUAACAC
rnacentral:rRNA from 1 species